rnacentral:misc_RNA from 1 species
AUUGGGUUGGCAACUAAGUGAUUGCGGACAAUAUCAUUAGGUGGUAAUGACAAAAUCCGCAAUCACUUAGUCGCCAUGCCUCGAUGGUCAACGAAACGAAUGAAACGAAGAGUAGUCGUGGAGGACGGACGCUGUAAGUGGCAGAAUCGAAGGAUUUCGAUGGUUCUAUCGUCAACCCAAUAAUAUCUUCGAUAAUCCGUAAGCAUCGUCCAACGUGUACCCACGCGGUUGAAAGUCUACAAAGUGAAAAACUUGGUGACGAUUGCGAGUCACAGACUGGGAGUCAGUGAAUCGAUUGAAGAGAAGAGGAGGGAGGUGUAUCGAUAUCGGGGGAAACCAUAAGUCGAGCGAGAAAACGAGAAGCUCCAUCGGGUCUUUUUUACCCCUCCAAUUCGCCUCACGCGCCCUUUAGUCACGUGUGGCCGUGGAACAAGAAAGAAAAAAGGAAGAAAGGAGACGUUUUAAUAAUAGUAAUAAACGACACCAGAGAUAGGGUGGCUCUCGGUUUCCUUCUUCGCUGCGAGAUCGAUGACCGUUUCGUGGGACAUCGUAAAUUUAUGUGCGGCCAUAGGGGAAUCCCUGGUGAACGUGCACUUUUCAAGCCAAAUAAGCAGUCAUCAGAAUGCAGAGAGCUAACUUGUCGCCUUCGAGGAGACAUGGAUGAACCGCUAAAAUAUCGUGUUGAUAGCGAGAGACGAAGGUAAAACGAAGUGCAGGAGCAGACUCGUUCAUCGCCUGGAGUUGCUGCUCGAAUCGAGGCUCGAUUUCUCGUCGACGGGAGAAGAGUGUGGCGUUCCUCGUUGCUGGCACAG